CGCAAGCCGACCGCCGGGAGGAGGGUGGCGGCGGGGAGGGGGGUUGAGCCCACCCCGGGAGUUGCGGCGACUUCGUCGGGGUCUGCGGCUGCCGCGGCCCCGCCCUCGGCGCCAGGGGACCCGCUGGCCCGAACGCGCCCUGGGAGCGCGCCGGCCGUGUUUCUGUUCCCACCCAACCCCGCGGGGGAACGCGGUUUACUCCGGCUUUACCGACGGGGAAACCGAGGCUCGGGAGAGAGCUCUACCCAAAGCCACCGGCUCAUGAGUGGGAAUGCCCUCUGGUGUUGUCCACAACAAGCAUCUUGCAUCGUGGCCUGUGCCUCCCAGAAGACUGGAGGUCACAAACUUGUUUCAGCCGGGAUCUAAUCAAGACAACAGAAUCCAUGCCUGUUAUUUCAGAUAGAGGACACAAAGCAGGGAAGUGUUUCCACGGUGGUGGAAAGAGAUGGCGAGACAAGCUGAGCCCUGGGCAUUUUCCAGCAGAUUCAUCCAUCAGAAGCACUAACCUCCAACAGCUGGAUGUGGAUGCUGGGAAACUGGAGUGAGACAUCAAGAUUCCACGGAGGCCGCCACGCGGGGUCUUUGUCCAGGAUCAUCCCAAACAGCUCAAGACUCAUCGACCGACACACAAACAAUGAAUGGUCGUCCCAGCACCUCCAGUUCAAAGCGAGUCUAGACUCAAGCAAGAUGUGUGGAUUCAAGUCAAGUCCUGUGGAACUUCCAGGUGUGGGCUCGAAUUCAACACUGCCUAGCGGUUGCUGACUCCAGGCCUCUCUCUUGACCUUCCUGGUUUCCAUUUCCCAAUUGGGAAGCCAUGGGGACAACAGGCCAUGAUGGCUAAAACGUUGUUGGAGGUGGUCAGCAGGGCGGACGAAUGGGAGCACAGCCUGACCGGCCUAGGCAGAUGUGGGUGUUUCUCACCAGGGAAGAAGCUCAGGUGUGUUAGCAGGUGCGUCUCAGAAGGCUACUUUGUCUGUCACACAUCACUGCCCAUCAUCCAGGGCCCUUGCCGAGGGAGCUGGGACACAGUGUCCACGGAAUCCCUGAGAGGCAUCUACAAGGUCGACCAAAGCAGGAGAGAGAAGGACAGAAGGACAGAGAUGCCUGUCGGGGGCUGCCCAGGUCCAGGGGGGUCAGGCCAGGUCUGCUCUACCUCCCACUUUGAAAUCAAAAGCCAUACAAGUAGGGGGGUCGGCUGGCUCAGUCAGUAGACCCUGUGACUCUUGAUCUCGGGGUUGUGAGUUUGAGCCCCACGGUGGGUAUAAAGAUUACCUAAAAUCUUUAAAAAAAAAAAAAUAAAUAAAGGUGUCACACAAGUUUUCAAAGUCAUUCAUUUCCAAGUAUAACCUUGUUCUCCUUGCUGGGUGAUCUGGAUUUUCCCCCAUGUCCUUUGCAUGGACAAGGACUCUGUGUCCCCUCUGGAAUGAUUAAUAUACUGAAGUGUCAUGAAAAAGCCUUUGAACUUUGUUAGAGUUAGUAGCACAUGCAUUUGGAUUGUUUCCCCCCCUAGUUAAGAAAUAAAGCCUCUUUGCAAAACCCAUAAUAUAACCCUGUCUUAAAAUUAAGCUCUCUUAGAGGCUGUUUCUGAUUAUGGUGGUUCCAGGUUUUUCUAAUUAUUCUGUUCCAAAUGUUUAUCUUUUGCCCUAAUGUGCAGAGGGCUCUGUUUAUAUAACAUUAUAAGGUAAAACAGCUGUAUGCUUAGGUUCUAGCGCUGCUUGAUACCGGAGGCAAUUAAUGUGCAUUGUAUAUUGAGCUUCCAGCUACAGGACUUCCGCAUCGUUAGCCAAAAAUCAGCCUGCAUGGCUUGAUAUCAAGUCUCUUAUUCCCCCUCCCCGAUUAAGGAAUGUUUUCCUUUGGGAAACCUAAUAGAGGUAUGGAAAUAAUACCAUAUGUAGCUUUGCGUAUCAUAAACCCUCGGCUGAAAAGAAUGACGUGGAGAGCGUCCCCAGCACCACGGGUUAUGAUGGCUACACACUUCGUGAGUACGUAAGGCAAUUUUACCUUUUAACACAAAUAAGUGGUUUUUUGUGAUAGCAAUCAAGAAAAAAAAUCUGAGUAUUUAUUAUCCUAGUUUGGGGAGUUAAACUUCCCUGGUUUCAAAAAUCUCUGCUGCAAUGUCCACAAUAGCCAAACUGUGGAAAGAGCCAAGAUGUCCAUCGACAGAUGAAUGGAUAAAGAAGAUGUGGUAUAUAUACACAAUGGAAUAUUAUGCAGCCAUCAAAAGGAAUGAGAUCUUGCCAUUUGCAAUGACGUGGAUGGAACU